rnacentral:tRNA from 1 species
GCCCGGAUAGCUCAGUCGGUAGAGCAGGGGAUUGAAAAUCCGCGUGUCCCUGGUUCGAUUCCGGGUCCGGGCACCA